GUGGUUGUAGUUCAGUGGUAGAACACUCGCCUGGCAUGUGAGGCACUGAGUUCAAUCCUCAGCACCACA
rnacentral:tRNA from 1 species